rnacentral:lncRNA from 1 species
GGUAACAUGCCUCAAGCUCGGCGAUAUAUGCAGCUGCAUUUUAUUCAGGUCUUCCUUCUUUCUCUUUCCGCCCCAAAAUAGAAAAAAAAAAAAAAAAAAACUAACCAAAAAGAGAUAAACCCCACAAAAGAAAUCACUUGCAGUAGCUAGACAUUCAUUUAGCAAUAAUGCAUCCAAGAAAGUGAACCCCAAAUGUAAGAAAAUAGAAUGCUGUGGUGUUUAAGGUUGUUGUCUUUCACCUAACCUUGCUUAGUAAUGAGGUUAUUAGGUAUACUUACAGAGGUUCUUGAUUUUUUUUUUUUUUUUUUUUUUUUCGCGAAUAUUGUUUUUCAAGAGACGAAGAAGAGAAGUUUGUUUGAGAGAAAGAGACUUGAGACUGAGAAGGGGGUAGUGAAUGUAAUGAAUUGAAGAGAAAGAGAGAGAGAGAGCUUUAUGGGUUUGGUUUGGUGUGUAAUGUGUUGCUUCACUUUGCCUCCAAAUAAAAAGUAUAUUUGAAAAAUACUUCUGGUUUGGCUGCUUUUGAUAUAAACACAACAUCUAUAUGGAAAAUGACUUCUUUCUUUUAAUUUCUUUUAUAAUAAACAAAUAAAAUAAAUACAUUAAAAACAAAUAAAAUAAAUACAUUAAGAACAAAAAAAUUGGAUGGUGUUUUUCUUUCAGGUUGUUGUUGGGUUUCAUUUGAAGCAUAACAUUUGUUUUUGUACUAAUCAAUAAUUCUCCUCUUCUUUUAUAAUAAAAAUACUCCUACUACAAAAAAGAUAAAUGUAAGAGUUUUGUGUGCAAGUAAAGCCGAUUGUUCGUCUCAAGUCUCCUUAAAACCUUCGAAGACAGCGGAACAAUGAUGAGACGAGAAGUUAAUGGAGGACGAUACAGAGAGAAGUUAAUGGAGGACGAUACAGGUAGAAUAGGAAUAGUCCUGCUCUAGGGCUACAAUUGAUAAAUUAUCAAGGCUUGUUAUGAAUGUUAAAUUAGCUGAUAAUUCGAAUUUAAGCAUGGAUUUCAAGUUUAUAGAUAAAUUCUUGUCUAA